rnacentral:sRNA from 1 species
GCCGGGCGUGGUGGUACACGCUUGUAAUCCCAGCAGCUUGGGAGGCUGAGGCAGGAGGACUGAUUGUUCAAAGCCAGCCACAGCAACUUAUCAAGGCCUUAAGCAACUCAGUGAGAUUCUAUCUCUA